rnacentral:rRNA from 1 species
GACGAACGCUGGCGGCGUGCUUAACACAUGCAAGUCGAGCGGUAAGGCCCUUUCGGGGGUACACGAGCGGCGAACGGGUGAGUAACACGUGGGUGACCUGCCUCUAGCUCUGGGAUAAGCCCGGGAAACUGGGUCUAAUACUGGAUAUGACUCCAUGACGCAUGUUGUGGGGUGGAAAGCCUUGUGCGGCUAGAGAUGGGCCCGCGGCCUAUCAGCUUGUUGGUGGGGNGAUGGCCUACCAAGGCGACGACGGGUAGCCGGCCUGAGAGGGCGACCGGCCACACUGGGACUGAGACACGGCCCAGACUCCUACGGGAGGCAGCAGUGGGGAAUCUUGCGCAAUGGGCGAAAGCCUGACGCAGCGACGCCGUGUGAGGGAUGACGGCCU